AUAUCCACAUACAUCAUCGCGUUGCGAAGAGUGGGCAAGCGUGGGAGCCUUGCAGCUGGUGUUUCCAUCAUCACCAUCUAAUUAAGUUACUGUUUCCCGCAGGUUGCCUCUCCAAACCUAUACAAGCAAAAGCGAACGAGUGAGGAGCAUGGCGUCUCAUGAUAGUCGAAGAAGAAGAAGAGGACUUGCCGUUCUCGCUUUGGUUGCCUCCAUGUUCUGGUUGCUCGCAUCGCAGUCCAUUUGCGACGGCCGAGUGUUGAACUACUCGAUUGAUCCGAGCUUGUGGUUGGUGCUUCUUCCCCAAGGCCCUACUACACCGUCUGGGCCAUCGGGUUGCACUGCGAAUGGUGGUAUGAAGAUUUGUACUCCUUUCCUGGGGGUCAGCAAUCCUAAACCUCAUCCACCGGCAACUCCGCCUUAACCAAGUAUGACAUAACGGCCGGCCUUUCAAGUCCUUCCGCCACCACCACCAUUACUUCUCUCUCUCUCUCUCACUCUUCCAUGCUCUAUGAUGUGUCUAUGGAAUGUACGACAUAAUUAAAAUAAAUUGGAUUAUUGUGUUAUCAUCGUA